rnacentral:rRNA from 1 species
AACGAACGCUGGCGGCAUGCCUAACACAUGCAAGUCGAACGAGAACUUCGGGUCUAGUGGCGCACGGGUGCGUAACGCGUGGGAACCUGCCCUUGGGUUCGGAAUAACUCCCCGGAAGGGGUGCUAAUACCGGAUAAUGUCUUCGGACCAAAGAUUUAUCGCCCUUGGAUGGGCCGGAGUUGGAUUAGCUAGUUGGUAGGGUAAAAGCCUACCAAGGCGACGAUCCAUAGCUGGUCUGAGAGGAUGAUCAGCCACACUGGGACUGAGACACGGCCCAGACUCCUACGGGAGGCAGCAGUGGGGAAUAUUGGACAAUGGGCGAAAGCCUGAUCCAGCAAUGCCGCGUGAGUGAUGAAGGCCUUAGGGUUGUAAAGCUCUUUUACCCGGGAUGAUAAUGACAGUACCGGGAGAAUAAGCUCCGGCUAACUCCGUG